GUGCUGAUGCUGCUGCCUUGGCAGCAGUUUCCUCUUUGCCCCCUUUGCUUCUGCUUCGACAUUCAGUUUUUUCUCCCCCUGCUCGAAUAGCCUGCAUGGCUGCACGUCUUCCUCCACCUGCUACGAUCUUCAGCAAGUGGUUCCCAGUUGUCGGUAGGUAGACCAAUCGCUAGCAUGUUUCUCUUGCAGACGUCCCCGAAUCGAAGCGUACAGUAGAUCUGCCAACAGGACUCGACCAAGUUUUAGCUCCCCAUGCAAGAUCCCUUGGGGAUUCCCCCAUCAUCCAUUCGGUAAGGAAAACUAUUGUACAAAUUUCCUAAUGUCGUCGACAUUAUAUCCGGAAAC